rnacentral:lncRNA from 1 species
AGGUCAAAGGCAAAAGUCAUUUAGCCUUUUCCUCCAGUCUAGGAAUCUGUUUGCUCUGCUAAUUGAACUACCUAAUCAGAUCAAUAAUGUCCCUUAUCUGCAAUGAGGCAGGUAAAAAAUCCAUUCCAAAGUGGUGGUCGAGUUGCUUUUCCCUCCUUCACGCUGCCUGCUAAUGUGAACCUUGGCAUAACAGACACUACUUGGCAAAAGGUCACUAUGAAGUCACUGUGAAGAGAUGCCUUCCUAUCUUUUGAAAUCCUGAGGAGUGGAGACUGGAGAGGGAAAACGGUUUCAGUUACCUCAGGUUCAUGUCAUCCAGAAGCAGAGAAUCCUCCUGACUUGACAUCAGAAGGUCAAUAGUUGCUAACACUACGUCACAUUGCUAGGUCGUGCACCUCACUUCAUCUCAUCAAACAGGCAUUUUUUAUCAUCUCACAUCAUCACAUGAGAAGAGCAAGGUUUUCUGAAGAGGAUCUGAGGUGAACACAUCAGCCUGCAGCGUCCCUAGCAAUGCCAACAAGGACAGUCUACAUAGAGUCCUUCUCCUGCUUUCAUCUCUCCAGCCAGAAAAGAUUUUCUACUUGUAAGGAUGCAGGAUGAGAAUGGACCCACACAGAUAACUUAGAAGAAUCUUUCCAGGUCCUUAAUUUAAUCAAAUCUGCAAAAUCCCUUUUGCCAUAUAAGGUACUGUAUGAUCAAAUGGGAAUGGACCACACUUCAGCUGUGCCAAGGAGAUGGAUGACCAAAUCUGAGAGAGCAAUACAUAGAGACUUAAAAUACAAACACUAUUAUUCCCAUAGAGUAAUUCCUGUCAUGGGAUAUUUGCCAGAUGAGUAUCAUGGCAUUAAUCUCCAUCCACAACUGUCUCAUCUUUCCUUUGGCCCAGCAGCCAAGACAUCUUAGUACCAUUUGGAGAUACUUUGUUUUCAUGAUCUUAUCACCAGUCCUUUACCUAAAGCAGAAAAGACAGCAAAGAAACAUUGAUAGAGGAAAAGAAUAUUGAGACAGUUCUAAGUGGACUGUUGGUUCUGUUAUCUGUGAUGAAUGACAUAUCUCCUUCAUUUAUUUACAUCAAUAUCUAUAAUUUCUGGGUUUCUAAUGCUAGAUGUAUAUCAUAGCUUUCUUUUAAAAUGGGAAUAAUGGUCACAAUAGUGUCUAGUGAACAAAGACAUUAGCCACAUAGUGGCAAAUUACUCUAGGAUGAAGAAAGUCAUUUCUAAUAUCUCUCUUGCAUCUCUCCUAUACACACACACACUCACACACCCAAUAGUUUCUAUCAAAUACCUGAUGGAAUGGCAAGAGUUUCAUAGUUUCAUUACUUGGCAACUUUUGGGUUUGAAAGAAGAUUGGGUGGCAUUAAUGUAGUAUAUGUUAGUUAUCUUAAAAACCACCACCACCACCACUACAGUAAAUAGGCCUCUGUUAAUAAAAUUAAAUAAAUUUCUAGCUCCUCAGGAAAACAAAAUAUUGUCUCAUUGGUGGAGACCAGACCCAAAGCAGAUCACUUUAUUUAUAAUAACUAGAAAUGUCAAUUUCCUUAGGGUUAAUUUUUCUAUAAUCACAAUCACUUUUUGCCCAAGGGAAUUAAUUCUAAAAUUAAGACUAGCCAUUUUGUAUCACUUUUUGUUUCUGAUUAAAAAAGGCAUUACAGACUUUUUGAAUUAAAAAUAAAACUUGAUUUUUUAAAGCAAUUCUUGCCCUAGAUAAAACUUUCAGUCUGAUGCCACCAAACUUUUAGUAGAACAAUUGCAUUAUCAAAAUGGCUACAAAAGAAAUAAUGUUUUCCUUAUUCUGUGGACAUUUCUUAAAUGCCUCUGUCAAUAUUUCCAGUUUCAAAAUACAUUCUAAUAGAAAUUCAGCAAGUGGUAUUUUAAGCAAAUCCUAAUUAGAAACCAUUUGAAUGUCAGUGAUCAAAACAUAGGAAGGGAAACUUGAUAUUUAAUGAUGAGAUGGCACACUUAUAGAAUGCCUUUUCCUGAGAAGAUCAAAACAGAUAAGCACAAGUUUAAGUAUCUGUUUAACACUGAUACCUGGAGUUGGGCACGUACACUAACUUUUCCAGGUGGGGCUAGGAGGAGAAUUGUGUAUUUACCUUGCACAUCUGACAGCACAGGAACAGGCUUGUUUUAUUUAGUGGGAAAAAAGUGGAUAGCCAGGGGUAAAUUGACAUGGAGGAACAGAUAGCCUCAGUUCAAAUACUGUUUGCCUCUGAAAUCAGUGUUACUGUUGACAUCUUCUGUCCACUUUGUUGUCAAUCCCUAAAAUAAUUUAAGGAUUUCGUUCCCUCAGAAAAGAAAGCUUUAAUUCAUUGCUUCGUGUAUGUUGGCAAAAAUGCUUCUGCCAAAGGCUAUUUCUGAAAUACUGCAGUAAGAAGAUCUAAAUCAAUAAAGGAUAAAAAAAUGAAAAAAAAA